rnacentral:rRNA from 1 species
CACUCCUACGGGAGGCAGCAGUGGGGAAUUUUGGACCAUGGGCGAAAGCCUGAUCCAGCCAUGCCGCGUGCAGGAUGAAGGCCUUCGGGUUGUAAACUGCUUUUGUACGGAACGAAACGGCCUUUUCUAAUAAAGAGGGCUAAUGACGGUACCGUAAGAAUAAGCACCGGCUAACUACGUGCCAGCAGCCGCGGUAAUACGUAGGGUGCAAGCGUUAAUCGGAAUUACUGGGCGUAAAGCGUGCGCAGGCGGUUAUGUAAGACAGUUGUGAAAUCCCCGGGCUCAACCUGGGAACUGCAUCUGUGACUGCAUAGCUAGAGUACGGUAGAGGGGGAUGGAAUUCCGCGUGUAGCAGUGAAAUGCGUAGAUAUGCGGAGGAACACCGAUGGCGAAGGCAAUCCCCUGGACCUGUACUGACGCUCAUGCACGAAAGCGUGGGGAGCAAACAGGAUUAGAAACCCCGGUAGUCCCA